rnacentral:rRNA from 1 species
CCUACGGGGAGCAGCAGUCGGGAAUAUUGCGCAAUGGAGGCAACCCUGACGCAGUGACGCCGCGUGCAGGAAGAAGGCUUUCGGAUUGUAAACUGCUUUUGACAGGGACGAAACAAGACAGUAUCUGUAGUAUAAGCUCCGGCUAACUACGCGUCAGCAGCCGCGGUAAUACGUAGGGAGCAAGCGUUAUCCGGAUUUAUUGGGUGUAAAGGGUGCGUAGACGGAGAAGCAAGUUAGAUGUGAAAUCCCUGGGCUUAACUGCGGAACUGCAACUAAAACUACUUCCCUUGAGUACUGGAGAGGAAGGUGGAAUUCCUAGUGUAGCGGUGAAAUGCGUAGAUAUUAGGAGGAACACCAGUGGCGAAGGCGACUUUCUGGACAGUAACUGACGUUGAGGCGCGAAAGUGUGGGGAGCAAACAGGAUUAGAUACCCCAGUAGUC